CGUGGGGCGGGGGGAUUCGUCGGUCGGCCUGCGGCCUCGGCAGCUUUACGUUUUCCUUUCGCCUCCCAGUCCUGCCGUUUGGCUUUGGAAGUAACAUCCAAGUUGCUGGGUUGGCCGAGGCCCAGCGCGGCGCGAGCCCACCGACCCUGGGCGGCGCCCUGUUUGGUUUCGGGUUCAUGGUGGCUAGUGCUGCCCUCACCUCCCUUGGCCCUUGGCCCUUGACCGCUCGGUGGAGCAGAGGGUUGAAGAGAGAGAACUCGUGGAAUUGGCUUGGCUCCUAACGUGGGCUCCAGCUCCAGCAAGGCAUUCCCUCUCUUGCCCGAGUCUCUUGUUCAUUCAUUCAGUUACUAAACCCCAAGGGAGGGAGCUUCCACUGAGAGGGGCCAUGUUCUCCCACCGGGACACAGCAGAUCCCUGCGCUCCAAGAGUGCAUUCUAGAAAGGUGGAAGACAGUACCAGAAAACAAACAUAGGGUGAUUUCCAGUAGCGGCCAGUGCUAUGAGGAAACAAAUUAGCCUGCUGUGCCAGAAGUGGGAAGCUUCCUUACAUUGGCUGGUCCUGGAAGGCCUCAUUGUGAGGUGACAUUUUGAGGCGGGAGUGGGGCCUCAAGAGUCCUACCCUUGAAGCCUAGAAGGAUGUCUGGUGUGCUGUAGGCUUGUGAACCAGUGAUGAGUACUGAAUGCGGAAGGGCGCAUGAACUCUCGCUCCCUUGCAGGUGAGGAAGCUUUCUGGGAAUGAAUCAGGAGAAAGGCAAAAGGCACCCAGAAGAUGAGGGCAGCUUACGGUAUCCCCAGCUUUGCGAAAGUUUACGUUAUGCCGCUUGACUUUUACGAAAGACCUACCUGUGUUUACUAACCGAAAGAAAUCUUAAAAGGCUUUCGCUUUUACGAAAACGGCAACAGCAACAACAAAAAGGCAGAAAGUGACAGCUUUCAAGUUCUUCCAGGAAAACCCCCUCUCGUGGCCACGAGUAUCGUGGCAUUCUGUAUCCGCCCCAGGCACAGUUCUGCAGACUUAAGAGCUAGACAUCCCCCUACUUAAGAAACAUGUUCCUCAACUGACUUUCAGCGGCCAGCACCCAUUUGACAGUGCAGUGCCUCUGUGUCCACAUGGUUUUUGCAAGUCUUCGCACAACUCGACAUGCUUAUCACUGCUCAGCACAUAUCCAUCCCCCACAGCCAUGGGAGCACCGUACUUCCCACUAAUGUUGGGCUGGUUCCUGUCACCUGCUUUGGCUAGUGGAAUAUGGGCGGAAGUAAAAAUGUACCAUUUCCCAGGUGAGGCCUUAAGACACAUCACGUGGUUGUGCUUCUUUGGGAGCCCUGGCCCCCACUCUGACAAGAACGUGCUCCAGACAGCCGCUGCCCCCUCCGGCCUGGGCCCCCAGAAUGAGACGGAGGGGAGCAGAGCCCUCCCACUGCCUCUGCCUCCUGACCUGUGA